rnacentral:sRNA from 1 species
GCCAGGGGUGGUGGUACAUCCCUAUAGUCCCAGCUCCUUGGGAGGCUGAGGCAGAUGGACGGCUUGAAUCCAGGAGUUUGAGAGCAGCUUGGACAACAUAGCAAUACCCCCUCUCUA